rnacentral:tRNA from 3 species
CCGAUGCUGGGUCAGCUGGGCAGUCUGGCGCUGUUCGUGCUGGCGUUCUGCGUGAUCCUGUCGAUGUAUGGCGGUGGUUUCGCCACCGUGCCGGCC